rnacentral:rRNA from 1 species
UACGAAGGGGGCUAGCGUUGUUCGGAAUCACUGGGCGUAAAGGGCGCGUAGGCGGCUUUGUAAGUCGGGGGUGAAAGCCUGUGGCUCAACCACAGAAUUGCCUUCGAUACUGCAUGGCUCGAGACCGGAAGAGGUAAGUGGAACUGCGAGUGUAGAGGUGAAAUUCGUAGAUAUUCGCAAGAACACCAGUGGCGAAGGCGGCUUACUGGUCCGGUUCUGACGCUGAGGCGCGAAAGCGUGGGGAGCAAACAGG